rnacentral:lncRNA from 1 species
GCUACCCAAAAAUCCCAGGGGAGGUAGUCAGCUGGGCUUGAUGACAGCCACCCCAGCCCUGGGGGAGCCACUCCCAGGCAGGACACCUCCUGCCUCUCAGGUCAUACCCCUUCCUAGAUGCCCACAUCUGUAUGAUGGGGAUGAGAAAAUCUUCUCUUUAUGGAAGAAAAUCUACAGAGAGCCCUGAGCAGGAGCCUGGCAUGGAUAUAACACGCACCCAACAGCUGCUGCCACUUCCUUCCCUGGGAGGGCCUUCUGCAGCUCGGCGCCCUCAGCCUGUGCGUGGCUUUGCCCCCUGCACAUUUGCCAGCAGGCAUCAGCAGGACCCUGGGAAAGCAACAGUGAUGUAGUCAGGGCCACCUCCUCAUCUCCUGCUCCAUGCUAAAGAGAGAGCCAGACCAAGACUGGAGGUCUCUAGGAGGGACAAAUAGAGCCACCAAGUCCUCGCAGAGGAGCAGCCCCUGCAUGCUGCUGUGAGCGUGGGGUACCCCACCUCCUCACACCAGCCCCACCAGCAGGAGGUCGACGGCCACGUUCUACAGGAGAUGAAGUUUAUUUCUCCACCCCUGAAUCUGGACUUGGCCUGUGACUUGCUUUGUCCAAAGGGACGAAGCAAACAGGAUGCAAGCAGAGGCUGGAAAAGCUUUUGUGCAUGCAGGCUGCUAUGUCGGUACCGGGACCUCCCGCCAGCACAUGAGCAAGGCCGGGCUGAUCUCCUGAGGAUGAAUGAGCACAUAGGGAGAGCAUCGCUGUCCCAGCAGAGGCCCCCAACAUGGGAGAGAGGCCAUCCCCAACCAUCCAGCCACAGCCAGGCCAGCCCGGAUCAGAAAUCUUGCUUAGCCAACUCACAGAACCUGGAGAAAUAAUGAACCCUCGCUGUUUUAAGCCACAAUGUUUUGAGGUGGUUUGUUACACUGCAAAAGCUAGCUGAUACACUUCUCCAGCAACAGGGAGGCUAGGCAAUGC